AUUACCAAAAUAUCCCUAACUUUAAACGUUAAUAUCUCCUUUGUUAUAACUCUAAAUUACGUUCCGGUUGCGCCCACGCGUUCGUAAUGACAAAUACUACGAGGAUACGUCAAGAAAAUAGAUCUUACAUGACACGACAAGGUGGUCAAACAAAAUCAACGCAUUUUCCUUGAAUGGCAUUUUCGUACAUUCACUUAUUAAAAUUAUAAAAAAAAAAACCGUAAAAUUGGAAACGGGUCGUUACAAUAUCAUUGCCCGGAGGCAGAACAGUGACCACUAAAUAUGCACAAAACAUUGAAUAUAGUUUUUCCAAACAUAGGUAUAUAUAUAUCUCAAAAACAUCUUCUUAGUAUAAAGUCAUCCAUCAUCUAUACGAUAAAGAAGUGUGUAAAAACAUGUUCUA
rnacentral:lncRNA from 1 species